GCUGGGGUGGCGUAACUGUGGCAUACGCGCACGUUUGAGGAGCGUGCCCUUGAUCGGAUGCGGGUUCAAAUCCCGCCCUUAAGC
rnacentral:tRNA from 1 species